UGCAGCAAAUGUGAACCACCCCUGCCGGGCACGUCCACCCCUGCCGGGCACGUCCGAUGUGGAAGUUGCAGAACCCGUGGGACCCAGAGGAAAUUCCAGACGCGAGAUGCUGUCAUUGUGUGUGGAAGAGAAGCCACUAUCUGCUGACCCUGACCGUCCCCAGGGCACGUCCCAGAAGGAGUCAGAGCCUUCAAAGGAGGUGGUGAGCAGAGUGAAGUCGGCCCCUGCUGCUGCCACUCCGUUCAGCACGGGCCAGAGCCAGGCACGGCCUCCUGGUGCCGGCAGGACAAGCAGUGUGCCAGGCACCCAGGCCUGGGGACACCGGGGGGACAGUGGCCACACUCAUUGGCUGCAGAGGUGGUGGACCCUGGCAGUUGUGGUCGCUGGCUAUUGGCCUUAGGUGGCCAUCUGCAGAAGAUGACAAGGGGUGGGUGGGCAUGUCGGGAUGAGGGCAGCCCUUUCCCUGCAGUCUCCCAGGCUGGAGAAGCCACCCCCAGGUGCUCAGAGAGCCAGGCACUUUUCACUCCCCGACCGCUGACCCGGAAGUCACUGGGUGCCACCAGGGUGGUAAGGCCCCCCGGAGGCAGCAGCAUGGGAAAGCCGGGCCACCUCCCGCUUGGCUGCUCCCUGUCAUCUGGCCUCUGACAGUGGAUGAUGCCUUGGGCCGUGGUUGGCCCAUCUGUAAGUGGGGCCGGGCAGCAGCACCUCCAUCACAGGGUGGGUGCGGGGUGAACAGGCUGGGCCCCUGGAAGGCAGCAGGGUGGUGCGGGGCGGGGGGAGGACCAUGCAGGUGUGAGGCCCAAGGCACGGCUCCAGGGCUGCCCAAGCGACAGGGCAUUUGGGAGACGGUUCAGAGAGGACAGGUCCAGCAGCCGACUGCAGCCUGGCAUCUCCCACUUGCUUGGCUACAUGCAGGCUGCAUUGCCCGGGACAGCUCCCGCCUCUGCCCCAGGCAGGACCCUGGGGGCACGGCCGGCUCCAGAGCUGGGAGGUGAGGGGCUGCUCAGACCCCAGCUGCCUGUCCUCCCUAAAGGGCUGGGCAGGUGAGUGCCCGGCCGCUCUGAGAGAUCACGCAUGCAGGACUGAGCUGGCCGCAGCAAAGGUGACCCACGUGGGUGGCCCAGCUCAGCUGCCCCCAGGCCUGGGGGGAGGUGUCAGAAGAAUCCUGGAGAUAAGGAGAAGCCUGUGCUGAAGAAAGAGGUGGGGGGGGCAGUGCAGCCCCUCCACUGAAUCCCUGUAUUGAAAGGCUUUGUUUUAUAAAAUGUGGAUUCAGUCAAAAGGCUGCACUCAAGGAUCCAGAAGGCUACGUGUGGCCCCAAGGCCGCAGGUUCCCACCCCUCGGCCAGUCUUGAUUCCAGUGGCGCAUUGGCCCCUGGGGCUGCAGGGCACUCCGGUCCUUCUGGAAUGUGGCCUCAAGCCCGGAUGGGAGGCGCACUGUGCGUGUUUCCCGGACCCCCUGGAGCCACGUGCAGGGUCUGGGCUGCCUGAUCUUCCACCUCAGGGAGCAGCGAGGGAGGCGUUUGGAUGGUGCCAACUCACGGCUGUGUGAGGGUCUCUGCAGGCCGUCCAGAAAGUCGAGCAAAAUGACCUGAGAAGUCCGAAGUCCAGUCCAGGAGUCAGAGGGCUGUGCUCCCUCCAGAGCUUCCCGAAGGUCCUUCCUUCUGUCUUCAGCUUCGGCGGGUCCUGGUGUUCUGUGAUUGCGGCCCCAUCUCUCCAACGGCGACCUCUGUUGUCAUGUGGUCUCUGUGUCUCUGUAUCCAGACUUCCCCUUCACUUACAAGGACACCAGUCCUAUUGGAAUCAGGGCCAACCCCAACCCAAUAUGUCUCCAACCUUAAUUCGAUUACACAGGCAAAGACACUAUUUCCAAAUUU